GGCAGGUAUAUUGGCAGGUGUAUAGACAGGUGUACAGGCAGGUGUACAGGCAGGUAUAUUGGCAGGUGUACAGGCAGGUGUACAGGCAGGUGUACAGGCAGGUAUAUUGGCAGGUAUAUUGGCAGGUGUACAGGCAGGUAUAGGCAGGUGUACAGGCAGCAGGACAGGUAGGUAUAUUGGCAGGUGUACAGGCAUUUGUACAGGCAGGUAUAUUGGCAGGUGUAUAGACAGGUGUACAGGCAGGUGUAUAGGCAGGUGUACAGGCAGGUGUAUAGGCAGGUGUACAGGCAGGUGUACAGGCAGGAGAACAGCCUCAACAACCUGUUAAAUAGACACAUUAAAAGUGCUACAGGACCUCCAUUGAAACGGUCUCAUCAUUACUCAGAGAAGUGACCCAGAUAUUCAGAAGUGACCAUGUAUUCAUGUUUUAUACACACAUAACUGACCACAAAUGUAUUACAAAUCUGGAGAGGAAGUGUGCUGCCUGCCGAUCACAUCCCGUUGUCCUCUGGUCCCAGAUCUAAGAGACAUCAUUCGUCCUCUGGUCCCAGAUCUAAGAGACAUCACGUCCCGUUGUC
ensembl:lncRNA